AGGGGGACAACAGUUGGAAACGACUGCUAAUACCGCAUACGAUCUAAUCUCGGCAUCGAGGAUAGAUGAAAGGUGGCCUCUACAUGUAAGCUAUCACUGAAGGAGGGGAUUGCGUCUGAUCAGCUAGUUGGAGGGGUAACGGCCCACCAAGGCGAUGAUCAGUAGCCGGUCUGAGAGGAUGAACGGCCACAUUGGGACUGAGACACGGCCCAG
rnacentral:rRNA from 1 species